rnacentral:rRNA from 1 species
AGGGGGUCAUCCCGACUUACCAACCCGAUGCAAACUGCGAAUACCGGAGAAUGUUAUCACGGGAGACACACGGCGGGUGCUAACGUCCGUCGUGAAGAGGGAAACAACCCAGACCGCCAGCUAAGGUCCCAAAGUCAUGGUUAAGUGGGAAACGAUGUGGGAAGGCCCAGACAGCCAGGAUGUUGGCUUAGAAGCAGCCAUCAUUUAAAGAAAGCGUAAUAGCUCACUGGUCGAGUCGGCCUGCGCGGAAGAUGUAACGGGGCUAAACCAUGCACCGAAGCUGCGGCAGCGACACUAUGUGUUGUUGGGUAGGGGAGCGUUCUGUAAGCCUGUGAAGGUGGCCUGUGAGGGUUGCUGGAGGUAUCAGAAGUGCGAAUGCUGACAUAAGUAACGAUAAAGCGGGUGAAAAGCCCGCUCGCCGGAAGACCAAGGGUUCCUGUCCAACGUUAAUCGGGGCAGGGUGAGUCGACCCCUAAGGCGAGGCCGAAAGGCGUAGUCGAUGGGAAACAGGUUAAUAUUCCUGUACUUGGUGUUACUGCGAAGGGGGGACGGAGAAGGCUAUGUUGGCCGGGCGACGGUUGUCCCGGUUUAAGCGUGUAGGCUGGUUUUCCAGGCAAAUCCGGAAAACCAAGGCUGAGGCGUGAUGACGAGGCACUACGGUGCUGAAGCGACAAAUGCCCUGCUUCCAGGAAAAGCCUCUAAGCAUCAGGUAACAUCAAAUCGUACCCCAAACCGACACAGGUGGUCAGGUAGAGAAUACCAAGGCGCUUGAGAGAACUCGGGUGAAGGAACUAGGCAAAAUGGUGCCGUAACUUCGGGAGAAGGCACGCUGAUAUGUAGGUGAAGCGACUUGCUCGUGGAGCUGAAAUCAGUCGAAGAUACCAGCUGGCUGCAACUGUUUAUUAAAAACACAGCACUGUGCAAACACGAAAGUGGACGUAUACGGUGUGACGCCUGCCCGGUGCCGGAAGGUUAAUUGAUGGGGUUAGCGGCAACGCGAAGCUCUUGAUCGAAGCCCCGGUAAACGGCGGCCGUAACUAUAACGGUCCUAAGGUAGCGAAAUUCCUUGUCGGGUAAGUUCCGACCUGCACGAAUGGCGUAAUGAUGGCCAGGCUGUCUCCACCCGAGACUCAGUGAAAUUGAACUCGCUGUGAAGAUGCAGUGUACCCGCGGCAAGACGGAAAGACCCCGUGAACCUUUACUAUAGCUUGACACUGAACAUUGAGCCUUGAUGUGUAGGAUAGGUGGGAGGCUUUGAAGUGUGGACGCCAGUCUGCAUGGAGCCGACCUUGAAAUACCACCCUUUAAUGUUUGAUGUUCUAACGUUGGCCCGUAAUCCGGGUUGCGGACAGUGUCUGGUGGGUAGUUUGACUGGGGCGGUCUCCUCCUAAAGAGUAACGGAGGAGCACGAAGGUUGGCUAAUCCUGGUCGGACAUCAGGAGGUUAGUGCAAUGGCAUAAGCCAGCUUGACUGCGAGCGUGACGGCGCGAGCAGGUGCGAAAGCAGGUCAUAGUGAUCCGGUGGUUCUGAAUGGAAGGGCCAUCGCUCAACGGAUAAAAGGUACUCCGGGGAUAACAGGCUGAUACC